GCUGCCAUGGUGAAAUUGGUAGACACACUGCUCUUAGGAAGCAGUGCUCAAGCAUCUCGGUUCGAAUCCGAGUGGAAGGCA
rnacentral:tRNA from 1 species